GAUGAACGCUGGCGGCGUGCCUAAUACAUGCAAGUCGAGCGAACGGACGAGAAGCUUGCUUCUCUGAUGUUAGCGGCGGACGGGUGAGUAACACGUGGAUAACCUACCUAUAAGACUGGGAUAACUUCGGGAAACCGUAGCUGAUACCGGAUAAUAUUUUGAACCGCAUGGUUCAAAAGUGAAAGACGGUCUUGCUGUCACUUAGAGAUGGAUCCGCGCUGCAUUAGCUAGUUGGUAAGGUAACGGCUUACCAAGGCAACGAUGCAUAGCCGACCUGAGAGGGUGAUCGGCCACACUGGAACUGAGACACGGUCCAGACUCCUACGGGAGGCAGCAGUAGGGAAUAUUCCGCAAUGGGCGAAAGCCUGACGGAGCAACGCCGCGUGAGUGAUGAAGGUCUUCGGAUCGUAAAACUCUGUUAUUAGGGAAGAAAAUAUGUGUAAGUAACUGUGCACAUCUUGACGGUACCUAAUCAGAAAGCCACGGCUAACUACGUG
rnacentral:rRNA from 1 species